rnacentral:rRNA from 1 species
GGCGGUAUAAGAUGACUAUGCGUUCUAUUAGUUUGUUGGUAAGGUAACGGCUUACCAAGACUACGAUAGAUAGGGGUCCUGAGAGGGAGAUCCCCCACACUGGUACUGAGACACGGACCAGACUCCUACGGGAGGCAGCAGUGAGGAAUAUUGGACAAUGGAGGCAACUCUGAUCCAGCCAUGCCGCGUGUAGGAAGACUGCCCUAUGGGUUGUAAACUACUUUUAUAUGGGAAGAAUAAGGUCUACGUGUAGACUGAUGACGGUACCAUAAGAAUAAGCACCGGCUAACUCCGUGCCAGCAGCCGCGGUAAUACGGAGGGUGCAAGCGUUAUCCGGAAUCAUUGGGUUUAAAGGGUCCGUAGGCGGGCAUAUAAGUCAGUGGUGAAAGUCUGUGGCUCAACCAUAGAAUUGCCAUUGAUACUGUAUGUCUUGAAUUAUUGUGAAGUGGUUAGAAUAUGUAGUGUAGCGGUGAAAUGCUUAGAGAUUACAUAGAAUACCGAUUGCGAAGGCAGAUCACUAACAAUAUAUUGACGCUGAUGGACGAAAGCGUAGGUAGCGAACAGGAUUAGAUACCCUGGUAGUCUACGCCGUAAACGAUGGAUACUAGUUGUUUGGUUUUCGGACUGAGUGACUAAGCGAAAGU